rnacentral:rRNA from 1 species
UUCGCAAUGCCCGAAAGGGUGACGAAGCGACGCCGCGUGGAUGAAGAAGGCCUUCGGGUUGUAAAAUCCUGUCAGGAGUUAAGAAAUAUAAGUUUGAUAAUACCAAAUUUAUUUGACAAAGGCUCCAGAGGAAGCCACGGCUAACUCUGUGCCAGCAGCCGCGGUAAUACAGAGGUGGCAAGCGUUGUUCGGAAUUAUUGGGCGUAAAGAGCACGUAGGUGGAUUUGUUAGUCAGAUGUGAAAGCCUUUCGUUCAACGGAGGAAUUGCAUCUGAAACUACAAACCUUGAGUAUAGGAGGGGAGAGUGGAACUUCUGGUGGAGCGGUGAAAUGCGUAGAUAUCAGAAGGAACGCCGGCGGCGAAAGCGACUCUCUGGCCUAUAACUGACACUGAGUGUGCGAAAGCUAGGGGAGCAAACGGGAUUAGAUACCCCGGUAGUCCUAGCCGUAAACGAUGGGCACUAAGUAGAGGGGUUUU